CCUACGGGUGGCUGCAGUGGGGAAUAUUGCACAAUGGGGGAAACCCUGAUGCAGCGACGCCGCGUGGGUGAAGAAGUAAUUCGUUAUGUAAAGCUCUAUCAUCAGGGAAGAAAAUGACGGUACCUGAGUAAGAAGCCCCGGCUAACUACGUGCCAGCAGCCGCGGUAAUACGUAGGGGGCAAGCGUUAUCCGGAUUUACUGGGUGUAAAGGGAGCGUAGACGGAAGUGCAAGUCUGAGGUGAAAGGCUGGGGCUAAACCACAGGACUGCUCUGGAAACUGUACGGCUGGAGUGUGGGAGAGGUAAGUGGAAUUCUUAGUGUAGCGGUGAAAUGCGUAGAUAUUAGGAGGAACACGAGUGGCGAAGGCGACUUACUGGACUGUAACUGACGUUGAGGCUCGAAAGCGUGGGGAGCAAACAGGAUUAGAUACCCCGGUAGUC
rnacentral:rRNA from 1 species